rnacentral:rRNA from 1 species
UACGGAGGGUGCAAGCGUUGUUCGGAAUCACUGGGCGUAAAGGGCGUGUAGGCGGCCUGUUAAGUCUGAUGUGAAAUCCCCUCGCUCAACGAGGGAACUGCGUCGGAAACUGGCAGGCUCGAGUACCGGAGAGGAAGGUGGAAUUCCCGGUGUAGCGGUGAAAUGCGUAGAUAUCAGGAGGAACACCAAUGGCGAAGGCGGCUCUCUAGUACGGAACUGACGCUGAGACGCGAAAGCGGGGGAGCGAACAGG